UCGGAGUCGGGCUGCUCGGGCGCCCACCUCCCACCCGUGACUACCUAACACUGUUGCUUCGGCGGGGAGCCCUCUCGGGGGCGAGCCGCCGGGGACUACUGAACUUCAUGCCUGAGAGUGAUGCAGUCUGAGUCUGAAUAUAAAAUCAGUCAAAACUUUCAACAAUGGAUCUCUUGGUUCCGGCAUCGAUGAAGAACGCAGCGAACUGCGAUAAGUAAUGUGAAUUGCAGAAUUCAGUGAAUCAUCGAGUCUUUGAACGCACAUUGCGCCCCCUGGCAUUCCGGGGGGCAUGCCUGUCCGAGCGUCAUUGCUGCCCAUCAAGCCCGGCUUGUGUGUUGGGUCGUCGUCCCCCCCGGGGGACGGGCCCGAAAGGCAGCGGCGGCACCGUGUCCGGUCCUCGAGCGUAUGGGGCUUUGUCACCCGCUCGAUUAGGGCCGGCCGGGCGCCAGCCGACGUCUCCAACCAUUUUCUUCAGGUUGACCUCGGAUCAGGUAGGGAUACCCGCUGAACUUAAGCAUAUCAAUAAGCCGGAGGAA
rnacentral:rRNA from 1 species